rnacentral:lncRNA from 1 species
NNNNNNNNNNNNNNNNNNNNNNNNNNNNNNNNNNNNNNNNUUCAAGCGAUUCUCCUGCCUCAGCCUUCUGAGUAGCUGGGAUUACAGGCACACCGCACCUGGCCUACUCUCUCCUUAUGAAGCAUCUGUAGAGCUAGGAAGGAAACGAUGGUCAUCUUCAGUAAAAUUGCCAUUUAAAAGAAGUGUUUUGUCUGGGCACAGUGGCUCAUGCCUGUAAUCUCAGAACUUUGGGAGGCUGAGGCGGGUGGAUCACCUGAGGUCAGGAGUUUGAGACCAGCCUGGCCAACAUGGUGAAACCCCAUCUCUACUAAAAAUACAAAAAAUUAGCUGGGCAUAGUGGCGCAUGCCUGUAAUCGAGGCUACUCAGGAGGCUGAGGCAGGAGAAUCUCUUGAAACCCUGGAGGCAGAGGUUGUCGUGAGCUGAGAUCGAGCCACUGCUCUCCAGCCUGGGCGAUAAGAGCGAGACUCCGUCUCAAAAAAAAAGAGGCGUUUUGAAUCACAACCCUGUUUAUCACACUAUAGUAGAUAACUUUAAGUAACAGUGGGUUGUGUUGUAUUGUUUUUGACAAAUGAACUGUAUAUAAUGAAAAAUCUCAAUGCACCAAAUGCUUACAGUGUGACAUGGUGUUUGAAGCAUUAGCUUUGGUGUCAGAUCUGCCUGGGUUUGAAUCCCACUUUGACCACUUGAUUAUUUGUCACUCUGAGAGGGCAAGACUAAAUAUUUUGUUUGUUUGUUUGUUUUUUGAGACAGAGUCUCACUCUUGUUGCCCAGGCUGGAGUGCGGUGGCGUGAUACCAGCUCACUGCAACCUCUGCCUUCCCGGGUUCAAGCGAUUCUCCUGCGUUAGCCUCCCAAAUAGCUGGGAUUACAGGCGUUCACCACCAACCCAGUUAGUGGUUUUUUUUUUUUUUUGUAUUUUGUAUUUUUAGUAGAGAUGGGGUUUCACCAUGUUAGCUAGGCUGGUCUCAAACUCCUGACCUCAUGAUCUGCCCGCCUCAGCCUCCCAAAGUGCUGGGAUUACAGGCAUGAGCCACUGUGCCCGGCCAAGACUGAAUAUUUUCACACUUAACCUUCAAUGCCUAGCUCUAUUCUUGGCAUAUAAUAAGAAUUUGAUAAAUAUUUGGUGAAUGAACGAGUUAACUUCUCUGCAUUCUUCAGCAUGAAGUUAAUCAUAUUCCCUCGGCAGUAUUUUGCAGUUCAAGUGAGAAAAUGUUUGAGGGACUUCACAGGGAAUGCAGUAAAUAGCAAUAACACAACA